rnacentral:rRNA from 1 species
UACAGAGGUCUCAAGCGUUGUUCGGAUUCAUUAGGCGGUAAGGUGACGGUAGGCGGCGGCGGUGAAGUCGGGGUGUGAAAUCUCGGAGCUUAACUCCGAAACUGCAUUCGAUACUGCCGUGCUUGAGGACUGGAGAGGAGACUGGAAUUUACGGUGUAGCAGUGAAAUGCGUAGAGAUCGUAAGGAAGACCAGUGGCGAAGGCGGGUCUCUGGACAGUUCCUGACACUGAGGCACGAAGGCCAGGGGAGCAAACGGG